CUACAACAUAGCAAGUCAUCAAGAAUGAGAAUAAUAUAGACGACCUCUGAUUACACUAUUGUUUAUUGGUUAAUCAGUGAUUGCUUCUGUUGAUCCAUUUUAACAAUUAGACCAACUGAAACAUAAACAACCAGUUAUCAGAAAACCUCAUCAAACAAAAUUCUUGUGACUUUAUUGUCUACACUAUAAGUAAAGCUCUUUUUCUUCCAUUAAUUUCAGCCGUUUCUUCUCUUUCAAUUUAAUUUUUUUUAGUGGGG
rnacentral:misc_RNA from 1 species